rnacentral:rRNA from 2 species
UGGCGGCGUGCAUAACACAUGCAAGUCGAACGAUGUAACUUAAAUGAAUUCUUCGGAAUGAUUUUAAAUGGAUUAGUGGCGAACGGGUGAGUAACGCGUGAGUAACCUGCCUUACACAAGGGGAUAGCCUCUGGAAACGGAGAAUAAUACCCUAUGAGAUUACAACUUCGCAUGAAGCAGUAAUCAAAGUGUUAGCGGUGUAAGAUGGACUUGCGUCUGAUUAGCUAGUUGGUGAGAUAACAGCUCACCAAGGCAACGAUCAGUAGCCGGCUUGAGAGAGUGUACGGCCACAUUGGGACUGAGACACGGCCCAGACUCCUACGGGAGGCAGCAGUGGGGAAUUUUGCACAAUGGGGGCAACCCUGAUGCAGCGACGCCGCGUGAUUUAGAAGGCCUUCGGGUUGUAAAAAUCUUUUGUAUAGGAAGAAAAUGACAGUACUAUACGAAUAAGGUCC